ensembl:lncRNA
CCUGAAUGGUGCACAUGCCAUCAAUGUCAGGACAUGCCGACCGACCUUGAGAGGAAGUGUUGUGGUGGAGGGCCAAGGUCAUGCCUAUCUAGACUUCCAGACGUCCAGGAGCCUGGGGAAGACAACAGAGAGUUCCGGCAUGCUGCCUACAGACAGUUUGUGCUGUGGCAGUAUGGGCGCCUGGGAGAGGGCAAUAGAGUUGUGAUACCCAGUUGUUGUGUGUGGAGGAUCAGAAACACUUUUCCUGACCCACAAGGCCAAUACAAAGGUUACCGACAAACCCGACUGUAAUAUCUACCUACCUACCCUACAAUAACAGAAAACUAUGACAAUCCCAUAAAAGUUGAAGACUCCCCUGCAGACUCAUCUAUCCUGGACCUGUGCUCCAGGACCAGCACAUUGGUUGGGACUGGUGGCACUCUGGGCAGAAGACCGAGCCUCCUAGGAUCAGUCUCUGACAUUGGCUGCUUCCUGCUCAUUCCCUUUCCCAAGUCAAUCCUUUCAUCCAAGAUUUGGGACUGCAGGUCUGUGAUUAAUCUAGGGCUGCCAACUUGCAACGGGCUUCGUAGACUGGGGGGCUGAAACCAUACCUCUUUGAGGCAUACAUCAGGAUGUGGUUUUGGAACGACUCCAGAUCAGAGGUUGUUCUGUUUUUUGCUCCGUGCCAGACAUCCAGUGAAUGGAAGAUGUCCUUCAUGCCAUACUUCCCCUUGUCAGCGUCUGUUAAUGAGAAAU